rnacentral:rRNA from 1 species
GCAAGUCGAGCGCUCACUUCGGUGGGAGCGGCGGACGGGUUAGUAACACGUGGGAACAUACCCUUUACUACGGAAUAGCCUUUGGAAACGAAGAGUAAUACCUUAUACGCCCUUUGGGGGAAAGAUUUAUCGGAGAAGGAUCGGCCCGCGUUAGAUUAGAUAGUUGGUGGGGUAACGGCCUACCAAGUCUACGAUCUAUAGCUGGUUUUAGAGGAUGAUC